rnacentral:rRNA from 1 species
CGGACGGGUGAGUAAUGCUUGGGGAUCUGGCUUAUGGAGGGGGAUAACUACGGGAAACUGUAGCUAAUACCGCGUAAUAUCUUCGGAUUAAAGGGUGGGACCGUAAGGCCACCUGCCAUAAGAUGAGCCCAAGUGGGAUUAGGUAGUUGGUGGGGUAAAGGCCUACCAAGCCGACGAUCUCUAGCUGGUCUGAGAGGAUGACCAGCCACACUGGAACUGAGACACGGUCCAGACUCCUACGGGAGGCAGCAGUGGGGAAUAUUGCACAAUGGGGGGAACCCUGAUGCAGCCAUGCCGCGUGAAUGAAGAAGGCCUUCGGGUUGUAAAGUUCUUUCGGUGAUGAGGAAGGCAGGUAAGUGAAUAGCUUGCUUGAUUGACGUUAGUCACAGAAGAAGCACCGGCUAACUCCGUGCCAGCAGCCGCGGUAAUACGGAGGGUGCGAGCGUUAAUCGGAAUGACUGGGCGUAAAGGGCACGCAGGCGGUGACUUAAGUGAGAUGUGAAAGCCCCGGGCUUAACCUGGGAAUUGCAUUUCAUACUGGGUCGCUAGAGUAUUUUAGGGAGGGGUAGAAUUCCACGUGUAGCGGUGAAAUGCGUAGAGAUGUGGAGGAAUACCGAAGGCGAAGGCAGCCCCUUGGGAAUAUACUGACGCUCAUGUGCGAAAGCGUGGGGAGCAAACAGGAUUAGAUACCCUGGUAGUCCACGCUGUAAACGCUGU